UAAUCUCUGGAGAGAGUCUAAUGACAACCCAGGAAUGUUGAAAAUGUUCAAGAUGAAGAGAGCUUUUGAAAAGCAUGGAAAACCAACUGUUUCUUUGAAAUUCAACAGCAACAAUUUCAUCUAAUUUCAAAUUCUUAUAAAGGGCAGUGGCAAAUUGAGGAUUUAACAGAAGUUUCUAAAACUGAACUAAAAUGUUUUAUGUGUUCAGUUUGUAGAAAAGAUACUCGGUGCCCCAAGGUACUCCUAACGUUAUCCUCAACCUUGAGAAAUUUGUUAAAACAACUUUUUCUAGAGAAUUUGACCUUUUUUGUUCCCUUUAAGGAAUACAGUGAAGAUCUCAGAUUACAAACAAUCCUAACAAAUUAAGGAAUCAGUUUAAAAAUUGGUGAGAAUCCUCCAUCAUUUUGUUAAAAGGGCCUCUCUCAUGGAACUUGCACAAUGUCAGUAUUAUUAAACAAUAAGACUAAGAUCCAUUUGGAUGUAUUUCAACAUGGUGCCCAAUGCUUGAUCCACUUUGUUAUUCACUAAAUUGACAAAUCGUCUCAGCGUGCACAUGUAGGCAACAAACCCGGGAUCCUUAUUAAUUUAGCCUUCUUAAGACUGAAGUAUAUAUUAGCUGCAGGGAAAUAAAGCAAUGGUAAGGUAUACAUUUUAUACAUCACAAAAUUAUGGACAUUUUAAAAUACAUCCACAUCAUUUUCUCUUAGCAAACGUUACUCUUGUGAUUUCCAUAUUAGCAUACCAUCAUAGGAUAGAACCUUUUGGGGAGGGUGUUGGCUGCCAGAGUUCCCAGCAUAUUACUUAUUGGAACAAUAACUCUAGGAUCUCUGCAGUGUCUCUUUCAAGUGGUCAACCAGCGUGUCUUCUAAGGAUGGGAAGGUAGCUCUAAAGCUGACAAUUGAUUGCUCAAAAGAGAGAGAUCGAAAAAGAAUUACACACUUGUUCCUAUUUUGCAUUUGAACAAAUGAAUUGGUUGCCAUUCAGAUUCAAAAGCAAGCAGAGGGAAAUAAAAUAGAGCACGGUUCUGCUGGAAAAUCCCUACUCCAGUGCUCUGUGACACUGCCCUCUGGUAUGCCCCAGAGAACAGCAGGAUUUUAGCUGUCCCUGCUCCUUGCUCUGCUUGAAGCAAUGAUUUCAGUUACCACUUGAUAAUGCAAAGAGAUCAGUGCACGGAUGACAAGUCCUCCUGGAGAAUUACUUUGAUUCAGCUACUUUAGCAACUCUCAUCUUCGGAGUCUAUUUAAAUUAAAGAAUAGUACCAUCCGGAUUUGUCAGGCUCUGCUUCAUACCAGGAGCUCCAGGAAAAGUACAACUUCUGUCCCCUUUGUGUAUCCAGCUAAUGUGUUUACCUGAGUCACCACCUGAUAUAAGAACUCCUUACUAGAAUGUUUGAAGAUGUUUGGUCCUUUGAGACCCAUCAGAUAAGAGAGAGACUUGGAAAUAAAGUAUAGAUGUGGGCUUAGUACCAUCAAAGGAAAGGCACUGCAAAAAUCAAAAGGAACAACCUGUAUUUUUCCACUAAAUAAAUUGAUCUUUCUUAACCAAA